CGGAGGUGUCUGACAGAAGAGUUAACUUGAUGCGUUAAAAAGACAUAUUGUC
rnacentral:tRNA from 1 species